ACAUCCAGAGAACUUAGCAGAGAUGCUUUGGUGCCUUCGGGAACUCUGAGACAGGUGCUGCAUGGCUGUCGUCAGCUCGUGUUGUGAAAUGUUGGGUUAAGUCCCGNAACGAGCGCAACCCCUAUCCUUUGUUGCCAGCGAUUCGGUCGGGAACUCAAAGGAGACUGCCGGUGAUAAACCGGAGGAAGGUGGGGAUGACGUCAAGUCAUCAUGGCCCUUACGGCCAGGGCUACACACGUGCUACAAUGGCGCAUACAAAGAGAAGCGACCUCGCGAGAGCAAGCGGACCUCAUAAAGUGCGUCGUAGUCCGGAUUGGAGUCUGCAACUCGACUCCAUGAAGUCGGAAUCGCUAGUAAUCGUAGAUCAGAAUGCUACGGUGAAUACGUUCCCGGGCCUUGUACACACCGCCCGUCACACCAUGGGAGUGGGUUGCAAAAGAAGUAGGUAGCUUAACCUUCGGGAGGGCGCUUACCACUUUGUGAUUCAUGACUGGGGUGAAGUCGUAACAAGGUAAGCGUACGUGU
rnacentral:rRNA from 1 species